GAUGAACGCUGGCGGCGUGCUUAACACAUGCAAGUCGAACGAGGCACUUUAUUUGAUUUCCUUCGGGACUGAUUAUUUUGUGACUGAGUGGCGGACGGGUGAGUAACGCGUGGGUAACCUGCCUUGUACAGGGGGAUAACAGUUGGAAACGGCUGCUAAUACCGCAUAAGCGCACGGCAUCGCAUGAUGCAGUGUGAAAAACUCCGGUGGUAUAAGAUGGACCCGCGUUGGAUUAGCUAGUUGGUGAGGUAACGGCCCACCAAGGCGACGAUCCAUAGCCGACCUGAGAGGGUGACCGGCCACAUUGGGACUGAGACACGGCCCAAACUCCUACGGGAGGCAGCAGUGGGGAAUAUUGCACAAUGGGCGAAAGCCUGAUGCAGCGACGCCGCGUGAGCGAAGAAGUAUUUCGGUAUGUAAAGCUCUAUCAGCAGGGAAGAUAAUGACG
rnacentral:rRNA from 1 species